rnacentral:rRNA from 1 species
GAUGAACGCUGGCGGCGUGCCUAAUACAUGCAAGUCGAACGCUGAAGGAGGAGCUUGCUCUUCUGGAUGAGUUGCGAACGGGUGAGUAACGCGUAGGUAACCUGCCUGGUAGCGGGGGAUAACUAUUUGAAACGAUAGCUAAUACCGCAUGACAACAGUUAUUGCAUGAUAACUGUUUAAAAGGGGCAACUGCUCCACUACCAGAUGGACCUGCGUUGUAUUAGCUAGUUGGUGAGGUAACGGCUCACCAAGGCGACGAUACAUAGCCGACCUGAGAGGGUGAUCGGCCACACUGGGACGGGGACACGGCCCAGACUCCUACGGGAGGCAGCAGUAGGGAAUCUUCGGCAAUGGACGGAAGGCUGAACGAGGAACGACGCGGGAGUGAAGAAGGGUGUCGGAUCGUAAAGCUCUGUUGUGAGAGAAGAACGAGUGUGAGAGUGGAAAGUUCACACUGUGACGGUAGCUUAACAGAAAGGGACGGCUAACUACGUG